GGGCGCAUGGCUCAGUUGGUUAGAGCGCUGCCUUCACAUGGCAGAGGUCGGAGGUUCGAGUCCCCCUGCGCCCACCA
rnacentral:tRNA from 1 species